rnacentral:rRNA from 1 species
CAGCCGCCACGGUAAUACGAAGGGGGCUAGCGUUGCUCGGAAUCACUGGGCGUAAAGGGUGCGUAGGCGGGUCUUUAAGUCAGGGGUGAAAUCCUGGAGCUCAACUCCAGAACUGCCUUUGAUACUGAAGAUCUUGAGUUCGGGAGAGGUGAGUGGGGCUGCGAGUGUAGAGGUGAAAUUCGUAGAUAUUCGCAAGAACACCAGUGGCGAAGGCGGCUCACUGGCCCGAUACUGACGCUGAGGCACGAAAGCGUGGGGAGCAAACAGGAUUAGAUACCCGCGUAGUCCCUGUCUCUUAUAC